rnacentral:rRNA from 1 species
GAUGAACGCUGGCGGCGUGCCUAAUACAUGCAAGUCGAGCGAACGGACGAGAAGCUUGCUUCUCUGAUGUUAGCGGCGGACGGGUGAGUAACACGUGGAUAACCUACCUAUAAGACUGGGAUAACUUCGGGAAACCGGAGCUAAUACCGGAUAAUAUUUUGAACCGCAUGGUUCAAAAGUGAAAGACGGUCUUGCUGUCACUUAUAGAUGGAUCCGCGCUGCAUUAGCUAGUUGGUAAGGUAACGGCUUACCAAGGCAACGAUGCAUAGCCGACCUGAGAGGGUGAUCGGCCACACUGGAACUGAGACACGGUCCAGACUCCUACGGGAGGCAGCAGUAGGGAAUCUUCCGCAAUGGGCGAAAGCCUGACGGAGCAACGCCGCGUGAGUGAUGAAGGUCUUCGGAUCGUAAAACUCUGUUAUUAGGGAAGAACAUAUGUGUAAGUAACUGUGCACAUCUUGACGGUACCUAAUCAGAAAGCCACGGCUAACUACGUGCCAGCAGCCGCGGUAAUACGUAGGUGGCAAGCGUUAUCCGGAAUUAUUGGGCGUAAAGCGCGCGUAGGCGGUUUUUUAAGUCUGAUGUGAAAGCCCAUGGCUCAACCGUGGAGGGUCAUUGGAAACUGGAAAACUUGAGUGCAGAAGAGGAAAGUGGAAUUCCAUGUGUAGCGGUGAAAUGCGCAGAGAUAUGGAGGAACACCAGUGGCGAAGGCGACUUUCUGGUCUGUAACUGACGCUGAUGUGCGAAAGCGUGGGGAUCAAACAGGAUUAGAUACCCUGGUAGUCCACGCCGUAAACGAUGAGUGCUAAGUGUUAGGGGGUUUCCGCCCCUUAGUGCUGCAGCUAACGCAUUAAGCACUCCGCCUGGGGAGUACGACCGCAAGGUUGAAACUCAAAGGAAUUGACGGGGACCCGCACAAGCGGUGGAGCAUGUGGUUUAAUUCGAAGCAACGCGAAGAACCUUACCAAAUCUUGACAUCCUUUGACAACUCUAGAGAUAGAGCCUUCCCCCUCGGGGGACAAAGUGACAGGUGGUGCAUGGUUGUCGUCAGCUCGUGUCGUGAGAUGUUGGGUUAAGUCCCGCAACGAGCGCAACCCUUAAGCUUAGUUGCCAUCAUUAAGUUGGGCACUCUAAGUUGACUGCCGGUGACAAACCGGAGGAAGGUGGGGAUGACGUCAAAUCAUCAUGCCCCUUAUGAUUUGGGCUACACACGUGCUACAAUGGACAAUACAAAGGGCAGCGAAACCGCGAGGUCAAGCAAAUCCCAUAAAGUUGUUCUCAGUUCGGAUUGUAGUCUGCAACUCGACUACAUGAAGCUGGAAUCGCUAGUAAUCGUAGAUCAGCAUGCUACGGUGAAUACGUUCCCGGGUCU